ACACAUUACGUACAUGUUACAAGUUGCCUUCUCUUUCCCUCCUAGAGUUUAGACCAACCACUAUAAGAUGUCGACUUUUCUAGUCUUUGAUAUUUUCGCACCAACGUACGUCUAAUAGUUCCGUUGUCAUUUUGUUGUUCUCGUCAAGUCUCGUAUCGUGUGUUUUGCCAUGCGAAGUAACAUUCUUGCUAUUAAUAACUUAUACUUCCUUUAUUGGAACACGGUUUCAAUUACAGAAACAGACCUGGAACAAAAUUGGAUUUUCGGGGAUUCGUCAAUUUAGAUUCCAUAUAUUUCCACAUUUUGCAAGUAAACAUUUAAUCUGUCAUCUGAAAAACCUGAGUCAAUGAUGUCGUUUGCAGAACAAGUUUUGAAAAUAAACUGUUAAUAGAAUUUCUCUUUUUUUUUUCUUUAGACGAUAAACGGGGAGAAACAUGAGCAUUCUGUACCAGCUGUUCGUCUGGCUGUGUCUCGUCUACUCACCAGGUCUCUGUUCUCAUCGCGGCAAACGGGCUAUUACCUCAUUCCGGGUGACCCUGCCAGGGUCAGGGCAGGCGGUGAAUGAGGUAAACGCGGGAGUUGAGGUCCACAUCACCUGUGACGUCACCGGAGACCCCUCACCUGACGUCGACAUCUACAAAUACAGUGAAGCGGGGCAGAAUCUGGGCUCUUUAAGUGCCGUAUCCGAUGGCAACAACUACCAAGCAUUACCCAACUCUGACGUCACACAGCUGGGCAUAAAGACCUACCGGUUCACCCCCGUCAUGAAUGGAACAUUCCGCUGUGAGAACCACGGGGAUGAGAUGACUCUACAGCUGAUCGUCAAACACCCACCUGUUCCGUUGGACCCGCCCACCACUGCCCAGGAGGAGCAGGGUGACGUCAUCGUGUACCGCAGCACGGCGUACCGCGGAGACGGGCCUGUGGUCGCCAUGGCCGUGCAGUACCGGCCGUUCGGCGGCGACGUCGACGUCUGGAACACUACGGCGGAAGUGACGGAAGACAGCUACGUCAUUUCCGGUCUGCCUGUCGGAAACAGGUACAAAGUGCGCCUGGUGCUGGUGCGGCCGGGGGAAGGGGGGAGAGGAGCCCCCGGUCCUGACGUCACCGUGAGGAUACAGUUCAUCGAGGGCGACACCUUCAGUGGGUCGGUGAUCGUCGGAUCGCUCCUCGGAAUCAUUAUAUUGGCUGUACUGACGGUCGCCAUCUUACACACGGUCUACAAAGCAAGGAAAGAGGAAAACAUGUUCGCGCUUGCCACUUUUCAGCUGGAGAGGGGAGAGCUAACCUCCAUUCCGAAAGAGAUGACGGGAAAGCGCCUCGCCUACCUGCGGCUGCACACAGGGGAGUGGAAGAAAACCGGGACAUACCGGGUGGAGGCGGAGGAGCUGGACAAGUACAUGGAGACCACAGGGUUCGACGGGCUCAUCUGGCAGUUCGAGGCAUUGCCAGACGAGCUGAUUUACAAGUGCAAAGUGGCCAGGCGGCCCGAGAACACGCCGAAAAACAGAUACACAAACUCCAUUCCGUACGACUACUCUCGUGUUGAACUACAGCCUCUGCCAGGCAAACCUACAACUAACUCCGACUACAUCAACGCCAGUUGGGUCAACGGUUACUCCAAGUCGAAAGCUUUCAUCGCCACGCAGGGCCCAUCAGCGGAGACUGUGGACGACUUCUGGCGGAUGAUAUGGGAUUACGGACCGAAGUACAUCGUCAUGUUAUCUGACCUGAUAGACAAGUCCAAGGUUCCUUGUGCGCAAUACUGGCCGGAUAAGGAGGCAUCGCUCCGGUCUGGUGACCUGCUGGUGACCUUGAAGAAAAAGGACGUCAUGGCGGACUACAUCUUUCGUACAUUCACUCUCCAAAAGGCCGGAGACGACGCAUCCCAGUACGAGAUCACGCACAUUCAGUACACGGGAUGGCCGCAGCAUCGCGCUGGCACGCCUCCCUACAGCACCUCCCUCCUCAACAUCAUCAGGACCAUCAAGCUGACUGACCCUGAGGAGAUGGAGACCCCUAUCGUCGUUCACUGCGGAUCCGGCGUGGACCAGACCGGAGUUUUCAUCGCCCUGUACGCCAUGACAGACAUGCUGGAGGAGGAGGCCGCCGUCAACAUCCGGGAGUUCGUGGUACAGAUGCGAGAGUACAGGUGUCUCAUGGUGUCGUGCGUGGACCACUACUUGUACAUCUACGGGUCCGUACUAGAGGCAGAGCGGUGUGGGAAGACUGUGACACGGACAGACCAGUUCUUAACCUACGCGGAGUCCAAACUGGGGCUGACUGGUUCCAAGCGAGGCGCGCUGUACUGCCAGGAGUUUGCGAAGCUACAGACGCUGUGUCCCAACCCAUCGGCGGAGAGAACAGCGACAGGGGCGCUCCCCGUGAAUGAGGGCAAGAACAGGUUCUCCAACCUCCUCCCGGAUGACAAAAGGCGGGUGACUCUGAGCACGCCUCUAUCCGAUACGGACAGUAACGACUACAUCAAUGCCGUCUAUCUGGACAGCUACAAGAGUCAGAAGGGGUACAUCGUGACCCAGGCACCCCUGCCGAACACCGUGACUGACUUCUGGUGCAUGAUCAGUGAUACUGGCAGCAACAUCAUCGUCAUGCUGAAUAGCAUCAGCGAGUCCUGUCCAAGGUACUGGCCAGCCCACGCUUCGGCCACCUACGGACCGUUCAACGUGGAGGUGACCAACACGCAGAUAGCCCCACACGUCACGGAGAGAGAGUUCCAACUCACCAACACUUUCAAUCAUAAGAAGACGACAGUCCGACAGUUCCAGCUCACAAACUACACGGAUGACGGCGACUCCGCCCCGCUUACAGCGCCUGAGUACCUGCACCAGCUCUGGGCCGAGGUACACAAAUGGUUCAAGCAGUCUAACAUGGACGGACCAAUCACAGUGCACUGCGAGAGUGGAGCAGGGUUGUCUGGUGUCUUCUGUACCGUUGAUAUGACCCUGGAUAGAUCAGAAGUGGAGCGGGCCGUUGACGUGUUCCAGGCGGUGAGGAUGCUGCGACAUCACCGACCAGAGAUGGUCUGCACGGAGGACCAAUACAAGCUGUGCUACCAGGUGGUACAGAAGCAUCUGCAGACCACAAUAACCACCACAGACUAACAUCAUCCAGGGACAGCACUAACAGCAUUGCAUGGAUCACCGUCAUUCCCAGCAGAACGUUUACUUUUAACAUUUAACAAAGACUAUAUUUAAUUUGUAACUAUAGAUCUGUCAAAUGAAAUGUAAAAGAUACAUGUAAUUAAAGAUAAUAACUCAAUUUUUUUGUAAGAUGAAGGUACCUUCUACAAUACAAACAGAAACAUUAUGUUUAAUAGACAUGUUGUUUUAUCUUUAUACGUGUGGCAAAAACAAUUUAACAAUGUUUAUAAAAACAUAGAACACACUGAUUUCGUGAGCACAUAUGUAAUGCAUGAAAAAGUGCUAUUUGUUUAUAACUGCUUGAAGCGAAGGAAAAAGGAUGGGCAUGUAUAAAAAUAUUCUUAUCACAAUAUACAGAAAGUUGAAGAAACAAGUUAAUGACAGUGAUGACACAGGAAGAUGUAUAAAAUAUUCACUAUGUGCAACUGCAUGCAAGAAAAGAAUGUGUCAAUAACAAUGUGAGCAAACAGAAUAUCUAUGCAACUAAUGCCUUUAAUAAAACAUUG